rnacentral:rRNA from 1 species
GGACUGAAAAUAAGUAGGGAAGCACGUGAGCUGACUGUCAAGAAAAGCCGCUAUUGUUUGCAGGAUACCCGUACCGUAAACCGACACAGGUGGAUGAGGAGAGAAUCCUAAGGCCGACGGGAGAAGCAUUGUUAAGGAACUCGGCAAAAUGACUCCGUAACUUCGGGAGAAGGAGUGCCAGUAAGAUGGCCGCAGAGAAUUGGCCCAAGCAACUGUUUAGCAAAAACACAGGUCUAUGCAAAACCGAAAGGUGAGGUAUAUGGGCUGACGCCUGCCCGGUGCUGGAAGGUUAAGGGGAGAGGUUAGCGCAAGCGAAGCUUUGAACUUAAGCCCCAGUAAACGGCGGCCGUAACAAUAACGGUCCUAAGGUAGCGAAAUUCCUUGUCGGGUAAGUUCCGACCCGCACGAAAGGCGUAAUGAUUUGGGCACUGUCUCAACAAUGCACCCGGUGAAAUUGAAAUACCAGUGAAGAUGCUGGUUACCUGCGCCAGGACGGAAAGACCCCAUGGAGCUUUACUCCAGCUUGAUACUGGGAUUCGGUAUUGCAUGUACAGGAUAGGUGGGAGGCUAGGAAAUGGUAACGCCAGUUGCCAUGGAGCCAAUGUUGGGAUACCACCCUUGCAGUACUGGGUUUCUAACCAGCAGCCGUGAUCCGGCUGGGGGACAAUGUCAGGUGGGGAGUUUGACUGGGGCGGUCGCCUCCGAAAGGGUAUCGGAGGCGCUCAAAGGUUCCCUCAGAAUGGUUGGAAACCAUUCGAAGAGUGCAAAGGCAGAAGGGAGCUUGACUGCGACACCGACGGGUGGAGCAGGUACGAAAGUAGGACUUAGUGAUCCGGUGGUAUAAAGUGGGAUUGCCAUCGCUCAACGGAUAAAAGCUACCCUGGGAAAACAGGCUUAUCACUCCCAAGAGUUCACAUCGACGGAGUGGUUUGGCACCUCGAUGUCGGCUCAUCGCAUCCUGGGGCUGAAGUAGGUCCCAAGGGUUGGGCUGUUCGCCCAUUAAAGCGGUACGCGAGCUGGGUUCAGAACGUCGUGAGACAGUUCGGUCCCUAUCCGGCGUGGGCGUAAGAUAUUUGAGAGGAGCUGUCCUUAGUACGAGAGGACCGGGAUGGACUGGCCGCUGGUGUAUCUGUUGUCUUACCAAAGGCAUAGCAGAGUAGCCAAGCCGGGAAGGGAUAAACGCUGAAGGCAUCUAAGCGUGAAGCCCCCCUCAAGAUGAGAUAUCUCAUAACGUCAAGUUAGUAAGACCCCUUGAAGACGACGAGGUAGAUAGGGCAGAGGUGGAAGUGUGGUAACACAUGGAGCUGACUGUUACUAAUAGGUCGAGGGCAUAACCAA